rnacentral:rRNA from 1 species
AGCGAACGCUGGCGGCAGGCCUAACACAUGCAAGUCGAACGAACCCUUCGGGGUAAGUGGCGGACGGGGGAGUAACACGUGGGAACGUGCCUUUAGGUUUGGGAUAACUCAGGGAAACUUGUGCUAAUACCGAAUGUGUCCUUCGGGGGAAAGAUUUAUCGCCCUUAGGGCGGCCCGCGUCUGAUUAGCUAGUUGGGUGUGGUAAAGGCCCACCAAGGCGACGAUCAGUAGCGGGUCUGAGAGGAUGAUCAGCCACCUUGGGGCUGAGACACGGCCCAAACUCCUGCGGGAAGGAGGAGUGGGGGAUCUUGCGAAAUGGGCGAAAGCCUGACGCAGCCCUGCCGCGUGAAUGAUGGAGGUCUUAGGAUUGUAAAAUUCUUUCACCGGGGGCGAUAAUGACGGUACCCGGAGAAGAAGCCCCGGCUAACUUCGUG